rnacentral:rRNA from 1 species
AAUCAACGCUGGCGGCGUGCCUCAGACAUGCAAGUCGAACGCGAAAGGCUCCUUCGGGAGCCCGGUAGAGUGGCGCACGGGUGAGUAACACGUAGGUAAUCUGCCUUUGGGUGGGGGAUAACAGCCGGAAACGGCUGCUAAUACCGCAUAAUGCAGCGGCAUCAAUGAUGACAGUUGUUAAAGUGGGGGAUCUCUUCGGAGACCUCAUGCCUGAAGAGGAGCCUGCGGCAGAUUAGCUAGUUGGUAAGGUAAUGGCUUACCAAGGCUGUGAUCUGUAGCCGGCCUGAGAGGGCGGUCGGCCACACUGACACUGACACACGGGUCAGACUCCUACGGGAGGCAGCAGUCGGGAAUUUUGGGCAAUGGGCGCAAGCCUGACCCAGCAACGCUGCGUGAAGGAUGAAAUCCCUUGGGAUGUAAACUUCACAAGAACAGGAAGAAUAAGGAAGGGUUAACACCUCUUUCGAUGACGGUACUGUUUGUAAGCUCCGGCUAACUCCGUGCCAGCAGCCGCGGUAAUACGGGGGGAGCAAGCGUUGUUCGGAUUUACUGGGCGUAAAGGGCGCGUAGGCGGUCGGCCAAUUCACUUGUGAAAUCUCUGAGCUUAACUCAGAGCGGUCAAGUGAUACUGGCUGACUAGAGUGCAGAAGGGGCGAUUGGAAUUCUCGGUGUAGCGGUGAAA